rnacentral:rRNA from 1 species
AUUGAACGCUGGCGGCAGGCCUAACACAUGCAAGUCGAGCGAGAAAGCACUUCGGUGUGAGUACAGCGGCGGACGGGUGAGUAACGCGUAGGAAUCUACCUGGUAGUGGGGGACAACAUGGUGAAAACCAUGCUAAUACCGCAUACGCCCUAAGGGGGAAAGUGGGGGAUCUUCGGACCUCGCGCUAUCAGAUGAGCCUGCGUAGGAUUAGCUUGUUGGUGAGGUAAAGGCUCACCAAGGCGACGAUCCUUAGCUGGUCUGAGAGGAUGAUCAGCCACACUGGAACUGAGACACGGUCCAGACUCCUACGGGAGGCAGCAGUGGGGAAUAUUGCGCAAUGGGCGAAAGCCUGACGCAGCCAUGCCGCGUGUGUGAAGAAGGCCUUCGGGUUGUAAAGCACUUUCAAUUGGGAAGAAAGGUUGGUAGUU